rnacentral:rRNA from 1 species
UACGUAGGGUGCGAGCGUUAAUCGGAAUUACUGGGCGUAAAGCGUGCGCAGGCGGUUUUGUAAGCCAGAUGUGAAAUCCCCGGGCUUAACCUGGGAAUGGCAUUUGGGACUGCAAGGCUCGAGUGCGGCAGAGGAGACUGGAAUUCCUGGUGUAGCAGUGAAAUGCGUAGAUAUCAGGAGGAACACCGAUGGCGAAGGCAGGUCUCUGGGCUGACACUGACGCUCAUGCACGAAAGCUAGGGGAGCGAACGGG